rnacentral:lncRNA from 1 species
CUGGAGCCUCCCUCUCACUCAUUGGUGGUCCAGCUGUGAUGCAGUCAUCUCCUUCCUUCCUGCUGGUCAGAGCAUCUAUCUGGCCACUGUGUUUGGCACAGCCAUGGUUGGUCCUCCAAGAACACGUUCAGUUGUGUGUGAUGCAAUGACAGAAGUAACCAUAAGGAUGCAGAUGCAGCUUUCUGAGGCCCAGCCAACAGUCACCGUGAAGCUGAGUGGCAAGGACCAGAACCCUGAAACUGGGAGCAUUUCUCCCUAUACGUUCCCCUCUCCUCCCAGCUUUCCAAACCCCCACCAUCUGACUUUGUACCUCUUUCAAAUGAAAAGGUUGCAUAUUGCUGAGCUGACAGAGGCUCCCUACCCAGACUAAUAGAGCCCGCCACACGGAAGUAAUUUCUUGUUAAACUUCUAUCCAGUGAAAUCCAACCACUGCACACAGCAGGCCCGGCUGUGCUGGUACUGCCAGCCUGCCACCGAGGCGCAAGGGAAUAAAGGAAAAUGCUUAGCAUUAAAUUUCAUGUAAAUCAGACUUUAUUUGCUCUGGUGACAGGUUAUUACCUUCUGCAGGGAACGAGGGGAGAAACGGCUGCCACUGAAGACAGAGUUCCCCCAGUGAGCUUCCGUAGCAGCCUCCUGCAGCAAGCAUGCCUAACUCACCUGCUUUGCCCCGCCCAUUCUCUCUGCUAGCUUCUCUGUAAAUGGCCAGGGUCUACAGGCUCUUCUUGGCAUAGUAGCCCUGCCUACGCAGCCUUCCUGAUGCUUCAGAGAUGGUCACUAUUUAGGUGGACUUCCCCACUAAGGACAUUGGGCACUCUUCACCUUGCUUUGUGGCUCAGUCUAUCUCCCACCAAGAACAUUCUAUAUAGCAAUAAACUCAUUCAGACUCAGCUCA